UUUUUUUUCUAAUCGUGAUUUCUUAAUCAUAUAUAUUUAUAUAUGUAUAGUAGAGAAUCCCAAAGGUCUCCCUCUUCUCUCCAAACACAUAAACCCUAAAAAUUAUAUCAUCUCAUCUCUCUCUCUCUCUUCUCUCCUACAUAGCCGAGCUUUUCAUCCUCUCUCUUUCUCUUUGCGUUUUUCCAUUUUAACUAAAGAAAAAGCUCACAACUCCACACUAAAUACUUCCCUUUGAUCUUCAUCUACAAAGAACCAAAGCUAAGCGGAAGAUUAGUAACUAAAGGUCUUUCAAAUCUUGUGUAUCGUUUCAAAGGAAUCUUCAAUCUUGGAGAAGCUUUUGGAGUUUUGAGAAACAAAUAGGUCGGUUUUGAUGUGAUAUAGCAAUCUUGGUUAGGAUCUCAGAGAGUUCUAGAAAAGUAUACCUGAAAUCUCAAGCUUAAAAGGUUUUGAGGUUAAUUUGUAAGGAUCAGACAUAUUUAUUGUUGAUCGGUUUCUAGCUUGUUAGAGAGUAUUAUCAAGAUUUGAGCUUGGAUCUCUUUCUCUCCUUCGAGUUUGGUUACCACCGUCUUACUCACUAUGAUUGAGUACUUGACUUACUAUGUGUGGGCAUGGCACUUUAUCACUCAAGGUUUCGAAUAUGGUGAAGAACAAUGAAGGAGGUGAAAUCACUAUAGAAGGAACUCUCUCAUCUACUAGUUGUCUGACAGAGAUCCCUAGAUUUGAUUUGGUUGAAGGCAUCAGGUGGAUGAGUGAGAGCAUUAUGUUCAUUUUAUAGUAUUUCAACUAGGACUUAGGGCUGAAUUAUAUGGAUUAAAAAAGAAUAAAAUAUUGGACAAAAAUUUUAACUGCAAAAUUACGUAAAAAAUCCUGUGUGUUCAUAUU